GAUGGGGAGAGGAACUUGUUCCUCGAGUCGUUGAUUUCACACUGCCGAGAAAAGCCUCUAGCUAGAAUAACGGUGCCCGUACCGCAAACCGACACAGGUAGUCAAGAUGAGAAUUCUAAGGUGAGCGAGCGAACUCUCGUUAAGGAACUCGGCAAAAUGACCCCGUAACUUCGGGAGAAGGGGUGCUCUUUGAGGUUCACGCUUCGAAGAGCCGCAGUGAAUAGGCCCAAGCGACUGUUUAUCAAAAACACAGGUCUCUGCUAAACCGUAAGGUGACGUAUAGGGGCUGACGCCUGCCCGGUGCUGGAAGGUUAAGAGGAGUGGUUAGCGCAAGCGAAGCUACGAAUCGAAGCCCCAGUAAACGGCGGCCGUAACUAUAACGGUCCUAAGGUAGCGAAAUUCCUUGUCGGGUAAGUUCCGACCCGCACGAAAGGCGUAACGAUUUGGGCACUGUCUCAACGAGAGACUCGGUGAAAUCAUAGUACCGGUGAAGAUGCCGGUUACCCGCGACAGGACGGAAAGACCCCGUGGAGCUUUACUGUAGCCUGAUAUUGAAAUUCGGUACAGUUUGUACAGGAUAGGUAGGAGCCUUAGAAGCGUGAGCGCUAGCUUACGUGGAGGCAUUGGUGGGAUACUACCCUAAUUGUAUUGGAUUUCUAACCCGCAGCACUUAUCGUGCUGGGAGACAGUGUCAGGCGGGCAGUUUGACUGGGGCGGUCGCCUCCUAAAGAGUAACGGAGGCGCUCAAAGGUUCCCUCAGAAUGGUUGGAAAUCAUUCAUAGAGUGUAAAGGCAUAAGGGAGCUUGACUGCGAGACCUACAAGUCGAGCAGGGUCGAAAGACGGACUUAGUGAUCCGGUGGUUCCGCAUGGAAGGGCCAUCGCUCAACGGAUAAAAGCUACCCCGGGGAUAACAGGCUUAUCUCCCCCAAGAGUUCACAUCGACGGGGAGGUUUGGCACCUCGAUGUCGGCUCAUCGCAUCCUGGGGCUGUAGUCGGUCCCAAGGGUUGGGCUGUUCGCCCAUUAAAGCGGUACGCGAGCUGGGUUCAGAACGUCGUGAGACAGUUCGGUCCCUAUCCGUCGUGGGCGUAGGAAAUUUGAGAGGAGCUGUCCUUAGUACGAGAGGACCGGGAUGGACAUACCUCUGGUGUACCAGUUGUCGUGCCAACGGCAUAGCUGGGUAGCUAUGUAUGGACGGGAUAAGUGCUGAAAGCAUCUAAGCAUGAAGCCCCCCUCGAGAUGAGAUUUCCCAACUUCGGUUAUAAGAUCCCUCAAAGAUGAUGAGGUGAAU
rnacentral:rRNA from 1 species